rnacentral:rRNA from 1 species
GAUGAACGCUGGCGGCGUGCCUAACACAUGCAAGUCGAACGAGGCAAAUGAGAUGAAGUUUUCGGAUGGAUUCUUAUUUACCGAGUGGCGGACGGGUGAGUAACGCGUGGGUAACCUGCCUCACACAGGGGGAUAACAGUUGGAAACGACUGCUAAUACCGCAUAAGCGCACAGGACCGCAUGGUCUGGUGUGAAAAACUCCGGUGGUAUGAGAUGGAUCCGCGUCUGAUUAGCCAGUUGCGGGGUAACGGCCACCAAAGCGACGAUCAGUAGCCGGACCUGAGAGGGUGAACGGCCACAUUGGGACUGAGACACGGCCCAAAACUCCUACGGGAGCAGCAGUGGGGAAUA